UACAGAGGGUGCGAGCGUUAAUCGGAAUUACUGGGCGUAAAGCGUGCGUAGACGGUAGCGUAAGUCAGAUGUGAAAGCCCCGGGCUCAACCUGGGAACUGCAUUUGAGACUGCUCUGCUCGGGUGCGGAAGAGGGAAGCGGAAUUCCCGGUGUAGCGGUGAAAUGCGCAGAUAUCGGGAAGAACACCCGUGGCGAAGGCGGCUCUCUGGGACGGUACUGACGCUGAGACGCGAAAGCGUGGGGAGCGAACAGG
rnacentral:rRNA from 1 species